ACAUGUCUAUAUCAUAGUGUUAAUGCACUUGAACCCAUUAGAACUCCGCAGUUAAGCACGCUUAGGCUAGAGUAAUAUUGGGAUGGGUGACCGCCUGGGAAGUCCUAGUGUUUUACAUGCC
rfam:Picea glauca, whole genome shotgun sequence.